UCUAAACACGCGUAAAGUUAAGAACACCGACAAAUAAACAAAGUAAACAGGAGGCUCUCGAGUCUAUUUAUCACUCGCAUGACAACUCGAACGAUUAUAAUUUUAAGUAAACUAUUGUGUUUCACAAUUAAUGAAGGUUUCUCUGAAGGGAACCCGAUCGGGAUUCGGAUAGUCAUUACUCUUUGUGCGACACUUGCCCAGGUGCGUUGAUUUUUGGGGUUCUGUAGGUACCCGAAAUAUUUUGUAAGCUCUCGUCGUUUGGAAACAAGUUAAGGAAAAUGCGUGUAAUAUGUACAGUGGCUUGAAAUAAUGAAAUAUAAAAUACUUAAAAUAUGAAUGAGGAUACGAUAGAAGAAGAUACCUAUCUUACUUAGUCCAAUAGCCAAAUUUUAUUCGUAUAUAUUCACGAUUUUUAAGGACGUCGAUUUGCAAGUCGUGAUUGAAACAUAUAAUAGGUAUUUGCGGAGCCCUAAAAUGAUGUCAUGUUUGAUGAUUGUAGCUACCUAUACAUAUAAUGUGUUCUUUAUACCAAGAGGAAAUUAAAAAUUUGGCAUGCUUCAAAUCAACUUUACCAUAAAACGUAGCAAAGCAUCGUCUUCGCUUCUUUUCAUUGAAUUAUACUGUGGACAGGGAUGGCGUUUUCCGAGAUAGCAUGCGAGUAAAAAGGACGCUUGCCCUAGCGUUGAUUGAUAACUGUGACAUAAAGGUGGCAGAUGAAAAAUAAUAAUUAUUUCACCCAUUGUUAAAGGUGUAUGGUUAGGGUUGUCACCGUUUCCGAAGUUUUACUUUAAAACAAAAUAAAAUAAUGUAAUAAACCGAGAAUAGUCGAAAUAGUAUGAUUACGAAGACGAGACCAGGAUUAAAUUAUAAAACACAAGCAAUUAAUUUUAAAAUUUCAUGCUUAUCAAUGGACGCCAAACGACAAACUAGAACCAUUUAUAUGUGACGUUUUCAACAAAAGGUCGAUUGUCGAUAAUGUUGAUUUCAAAAUGAAGCUUCAUAUCAAUAGCGUCUUAUUGACAACCGACAAUAAAUACCCUUUUGGUUGAAAACGGCACAUAUUUAAUAUUUUUGCUUGGGCUCUUUAGCCCUCCCCUUAAAUCCGCUACUGCCGUAAGUCAUGAAGUUUUUUGUAUAGAACAGCCAUUUAGGCAUUCCAAGAGUUGAACAGAAAACAAACUAAAGCAAUAUAAUUUACUCAUGCAUUAGAAUCGUUCAGAAACUCGAGUAUAAAAAUAAAUAAUUUGAAAGAUAAAUUCAAAGCAGCUAAUUAGAUUGACAACCCUACUUCAGUCAGCCGGCUGUGCAGUUCGCAUUUAGUCAGGACUAGACAAUACACUGUGAAGCGCGCGCGCGCAGGUAGACGUACCUUCCUAAAACAACACCGCCUUAUACCACUGCACAAACACAUACACUGAACAAAACCACCCUUUUGCUCUACGAAUUAAGGGUUACUGGCUCGCAGAGUUGCACGAUUUUGAAUGCAUUAGUUAAUAUUGUCCAGGUGUACUUAUAUAUUUUUUUAGUUUUCAUUAGCUAAGUUCGCGCUUUAUGGAUCACGAUCGACGGUUAGACGGACGUGUCUCAUUGUUUCGUCAAAUACAUAAGAAUUUUGUCAAUAAAAGCUGGGUGGUUUGAUUUUUUUUCGGUUUAAGGCCGAGUUUUUGGGAUUGUGUAAUUUAUUUUAGCCUUGUUUAUUCAGGGUAUUUGUGUGUGUAUGUUUGAAUGGUAUAGUAAGCAUAGAUACGUUGAGAGACUUUUAAGAUUUGAAUAAUUCAGCUUUUAAUCGCCCAUUUGCUAUUGCCCAUUUUAGGUACCAACGGUUCGUAAAACUGAACAUUACGUUAAAAUUGAAAUUUAUUAAAAGCCAUUCAAUUUACAUACACAUUGGUUCAUAUAAUGACUACCACCGUUGAAGUAAUACUAAUACAUUGUUUGGUCAUCGUGCAGUAGUUUAAUAAGGCCGCACCGACCACAGAGCCUAAUAACAGAUCAUCGUACAAACAUGUGUAAACUGCGCAUUAACUAACCUUCUAACACGGUAAUGCCACAUCACAAGUAAUAUAUGCUUGUUGCCUUAAAUAACUAUUAGGUACAUACCGCACAUUCGAUGUCACCGUGUGUUGAAUACAGGUUGUUAACGGUUUCACUACAUAGUUUAACAGUUUAUAAUUCCAUUAAAAUAGGCACGAAGAAAGUGAUACCAGCCGUCUAGAACUUAUGAAGACCGGGAAAAAUAAUUACAUUAAUGACAUUAGCCCGAGUACUGCGGUUACAAAAGCGAUGCACAUUAGCGAAAUGUGAGUUUACCUGCUCAUUGCGAUGUGGCCGAUCACUUUGUCGGCAUCGACAAAGCCCAGCUGCCGUUCCACCUUGUUUAACAGACUCUCGUUAAUUAUCCCUUCGACUAACCAAAAUCUAUAAUGUUUUUAUCCUUUGUAGUAAGAACGCUCUUUGAAAACUACGCGCUGGAAGCGAAAUAGUUAAAUCACGCGGACGCUUGAGCUCAUAUAAAUUAUCAGAUGUAAAGAUAAUGAAGCAUCGCAGCUAUCCCAGGAAUUCCCGUCUCCUCGUUCAUUACAAAAGAGCUAACAAUGAGCUAUGGCACGUUCGUUACGGUCAUUAUUUGCUAAGCUUAAUUACCUGGCCUAUUCAACGCUAUCUACAGAACCGAUCGAUAUGAAAUAAAUCAAUUUAAUCUAAUUAAAAGCAUUACAUGUUUUUUGUUCGAUAACGAAACAAGACGAGGUAUUAGGAGAUGGAGUCGUGGAGAUUAGGAGGUGAGGUUGGAGCAGCGGGUCACCGAUCAUAUCUCGACAGUACCUACGUCAAGCCGUCCAUCCGCUGUCGAGGCUCUCUAUAAAUUAUUUAUCCAAUCUAAUUUAAUUUACAUCUCCCCUGACCUUUCGGUGUUGCAUUGGCUCUAGAAAAAUACCUCUUAGAAUCCACGUGACUCAUGCAAGUUUCAUGGCACUUAUUGUAUUACGGGAGGAAUCGCAUUAGGCGGAGUGCGGCGGAAUGUUUCGGGAACGCGGGAAUCAGAUGCGUGCGGCGAAGACAUGAAUUUUAAAUGUUUUGGUUGAUUCCGAUUUGAAUUAUGUGCAUGGCGUCGAUGGAAACUCUAGAAGUGCAUCUAUUCAGGUGUUGUUUGGUGCAUCGGCCGCCUGGCCGGGCCAGGAGGCCGGGCUGGCGCGUCUCGCCACGCAGUCUACGGCGGAAGUUUACGACCGAACGCCAGCCACUUUUAUUGGCUACCUCACAUCGAAGCCUCCUCGCAGCCUCCCAUUCACUCCGUUUAAUCGACCGACCGACUGGUCGACUGACUGGUCAACAGCGCCAUAAACCAUCUUCACUGUCGCCGUAAAAGUCUCGUGUGGUUUUUCAUCUGCGCUGCGGAAUUAUAUCUGAAAUGAUGCGGAUUCUUCGCCAAGGAUCAAAAUGGAUAAAGUGCCGAUAGGUGUGAAACUACAAUUAUUCGCAGGAAAACCGUUAUUAAUCUAACCUAACUUCCUUCGGCAGCAAGAAAAGUGACCUGUGCAAUACGCGUAUUACACAGAUUUAAAACAGUAAGCAAAGACCAAUGCCAAAUUAAAGAAAACCAGAAAUGGUGUAAGCUUUAGCUUUUAUAAGCUCCUUAGUAUUGUCUGUUACAUAAAAGCUGCAGAUAUAUGUCAAAUAUAGAAGAUUU